UGAACUUUGGGAAGUAACACUGAAGAUAUUAAACUCUAAAGUAACGAAGUGAUCACAUGUGGAAAAACAACCAGAACAGAGCAGACUGUGGAGUAAAAUCAUGCUGAAGGUAAUAAGGUCACUCAAAGAUUGAUGUUAAUAACCAUAUUCCAGGUACACUCGCUCACACCAUGACUCAUGUAAUUAAACCAGCUGACUAAGAGACAGAUGUUAUUGUAACACUCAGUGUGAUUAAUCACCACUUCAUCAGAUUUGUAUAUAAUGGCUUGAGUUCAACCAGAUGUGAGUGUGCUUGACGUCCAAAGUAACCAGAGAAACACACCCUGAAUUAAUGAUCAUCAGUGCUCUCAGGUCAGCCAGCGGGGCUCUUUCCUGAGUCCUGCUUUGAUAAAUGUGUCAGUGAACAUAAGUACAGAAGAAGACUUGUUUCACUGCACUGGUGACACAACACAACAAUGAUGAGUUUUAGAGAGUGUGCCAGUGUCCACACCCAGCAAGUGAUCACUCAUGAUCAGUUCAAAAGUAAGGAGUGUAGCCUCAAGCAAACAUGUUAGCAUGAGAGAUGGUGCUUUAGGGUGUAACAGUACACAAAAGCUAAAGUUUGUUAUGUUUUUGGUUCAGUAAGGAAACAACAAAAAAAAAAAAAAAAAUUGUACAAUAAAAUGAAACAGAAUAAAACAGAAUGCAGGCAUAUUUCCCAUAUUUUGUUUUCCAUAUUUUCUACUAAAAUAGUCACUUAUGUUGUUCUUUCAUCCUGCUGAGCUGCAGUUUCUCUCUUCUGUUCCUUUGCUCUCUGCAAGCUUUGCAGGGACAGGCCUUACACACAGCAACUCCAUACUCUACAGUUAAUAACACCCAUGUUAGCUUCCCCUCUAUAUAGAAAGGCUGCUUCAUGGGGUGGUUGUGGCUCGGUAAUAGAGUUGGUUGUCUCUCAAUCCAAAGGUCGAGGUUCAAUCCCAGGUACCCCUGUGUAUAUGUGCAAGUGCCUUCGGACAAGACACUUAACCCCAAACUGCACCACUUGGCUACAUCCAGUGGUGUGUGAAUGGAUUAGUAAUAUUGACAGGUACAGGCACCAAAUUCAAGCUUUAAAGAUUCAUGUCUUUCUGAGUUGAUCUUAAUGGAGAUAAGAUUAUUUGCCUCACUGGCAGAUGUGUUUUCCCCGUUUUAGUUGAUUCAAUGCAGAUUUGAAGACUGAAUAGGGGACUAAUUACUACAGCUGAUUCAAUGGUUCAGGUGUCCCUGGGAUGUUUGAUUCCGACACCCUGUCAUUAAUUGUCUUUAAUCAACUACAGUACAGAAACCACCACAAACUCUGACUUUAAACUUGUAUUGCGUCAGCCUGCUUAAAAACACAAUGAGCUCUACAGCAGGGCUUAUAAACGGAGCUGUGAGGGAUGAUCAUGAUACUGUGCUUAUAAGAACUCCUGUCCAGAUGAGUCCUGAGUAGGAGCAGGACAUCUACCUGUCUGCUGAUCAGCCCUCUGACUUUGUCAUUUCAGCUAAUCCUUCUCUGCCUUAUUUGCUCAGCUCUGCCACCCCCUUCUCCUCCAUGGCAGAUUUUUAAUUGACUAUAGCCACGGCCAAACACUCUGCUUCUCUGCCUUUAAUCUUCAGGAGAGCUAAUAAGGCUCUGGCUCCUCCACAUCCCCCUCUUUCUCCUCCUCCUCCUUUCUCUCUCUCUCUCUGUCCCCCCCCCCCCACACACACACACACACACACACACACACACACACACAUUUGUCUUUUUUCAUUUUUAAGUUCACAUUACAGCAAGGGGGAAAAAAAACAGUACAUGAGUGAGGGAAAGCACACAGUGUCCCCCACUCUUGCUAUCAAUUUCAGAGUGAUUAGGCCUGGGAAGGGUUUUAAUUUGAGAUGGGAAAUUGAAUUCAGUCAUGAUAAAAUCUGCAUUAGGUUUCGGAGCUUUGCACUAGAAGUUCAUGUGAAUGUGUUAGUAUGAUGUGGAAAAUAAAAAGGCUUUUUAUCACAGUUUGAUACGGUGGGAUGACACUGGAGUUCAUUAAUUGAUAAUGGCUUCUUGAUAGAAAGCCUUGAAGUGAAGUCACCAUUAGGAAGCUGCCUUUCAGACACAACAGAGAUAUCCAACCGAUGUCUUUUAUGAUCCUGAAAUCUGUCCAUGCAACUGUUACAUGAAGGCAAGGCUGGGAGAUUAAUGAGUAUUACAAUGAUGGCUCCUCAUGAUCAUAAAAAUAUGAACAGUUACACCUGCAUCUGUACAGUUCAAAUAAUGAGGCGCACCCUCUCUUUGGUCCUUUAUUGCAAAAUAUGGGCACCACCCCUCCUCUCAAACAGCUCUCAGUUUAACUGCAUCACUGUCAGCUCAGACUGUGUUUGGACGAGAGCAGCAAGAGGAGCAGGUGGCAAGAGGAGAGCAGGGAGAGAGGCAGGAGGAGGCGAGAGGAGAUAAGCAGGGGGAGAGAGGAGAGCAGGGAGAGGAGCGGGAUGUGGAGAGAGGAGAGGAGCAGGAGGAGGAGAGCAGAAAGAGGAGCAGGAGGAGGAGAGAGGUGAGCAGGGAGAGGAGCAGGAGGAGGCAGGGGUUAGUUAACUGUAUGUGUUUGUGUGAUUAAAAAAUCAACAGCGUAAACAUGAUGACAGAGAGUCUGUAGAGAUUACCAGUGUUGACCAGCUGCAUUUUUGGGCUAAACAAGGACUUAGGUCUGUAUCAUAAUUUAAAUGAUGUAAAACUCAUCUCUAUUUGACUUAUCCACCUUUCACUCCCAUCUAUUCCCAAUUCUUACCAUUCCUCCGAACCCCAUAUAUUCACAGUUGGAUAUCUGCAGCCAUGGCAUUUGACUAGAUCCCCAUAAACACCCUUUCUUGUUGUGUAUGUGUGUCUGAUCAUCCAGGAUCUUCAUCAGAAUUCUGGUGGUCCUCACUGUUGUCCCCAGUUGCCUCCUGGCUCUCUCCAAACCCAGACAAAUGGUAAAUAUAACCUUUAGUAGCCUAGACUUGCUCCCAUAUGCUCACACACACUCACAGACAUUUGCAGGCAUGUGGAAAGAGUCCAAACUGUCUCGGAAAUGAGCGCUCAAACUUUCUUCCAGUACCUCUGUUACAUUCAUUUUCAGACUUGCUGGCCAUGUUUAAUGCAUCAGCCAUCAGAUUAGCCUGGUGGUUAGGGAAGCAGUCCCAUAAUUAGACAGUAGCAGGUUUGAUCCCUUAUGUGCAGGGUUAUAAUAAUGGCUGAAGUUUUGACAAAUGUGGGCCCAAACUUUGAAACAUUGCUUAUCAUUUGUUAAAGUUAAAAAUACUCCUAAGCAGAAACACAUACACAGUGGAGAUUUUUUUGCAUGAAUAUGUAUGUGAAAAAGAUGCCAAACAUAAGUAUAAAAUUUUGGACCGUGGGCCAACUUCCAAAUAAAAGAGUUGUGUGAUUUUGUAUUCAAACUGCUAACUAUGUGAGAUUAAAAGUGGGGUAGUCAGGAUCUGAGGACGUGCCUGUUUUUUGGAGAAAUCCUAAAUGUAAACACUACCCCUCCCAAACAGUUUUCCCCUCAGCUCCUCCUCUCCCCUCUGUCUCUGCUCCAGCAAGCCCCGCCCACAAUCAGACACUCCUGCUUGCUCGUAUUGUUCCAAUUAAAUUCCGACAAUUAUGGAGAUAAAUACGUCAGCUAAUUACAAAUGGGGCCCAGUCAACGUGAAAGGAAAUAGCAUUGGUGCUACUGUAGAUGCCAACAGACUACCAGCAAACACAAUGUUUGCAGGACUUCUACAACUAGCAUAAAGUGACAUACUCCAGGACCUGAGGGAAACAGUUUAGCGGCGCUACAACACACAGCAGGUCCAGUUUGACAAGAAACAGUUCUGCUACAGACACUUGGUUUACUUUGUUAGGCGGUUUACCUGUCCAACAGAAAAGUUACAGGGUCUGUAAGAUUCUAAAGCAUCCCCCAUCAUUUAUGCUGAUGUUGACCCAGCUUCUUACCUGUUGUACGGUCUACCUUCAUCAUAUGCGCCCGUUAUUCUGCCACAGUCUCUGAUAUUUACUUUGUUUUCUUGCUUGUGUUUUCCGUACUUUCUGGUUGGUUUCUACUGCCAGUUAUUGUAGCACACUAGCUUUGUUUGGGCUUGUAUACGUUAUUCAAUGAUGUAAAGCGUGCCUCACAACACGAGGGAGCAGCGUCUGCCUCACAACCAAUCAGCAGUAAGGAGUAGCGUCCGCCUCACAACCAAUCAGGUUUGGGGAGGCGGAGAAGGGCUUUGUUUAAAGUCAGAAAGAUCGGGCCAGAAUCACACCCAUGACCACUGCGGGGAACACAGUCUCCAACAUGGGGCACCCACUGGGCCAUCUGUGCACCCACUGUGAAACAUCUUUAAAGGUAACUUUUUGGUAUACUAUUGUGAAUGCAUUGCUGUGAUCCAAGAAGCUCUCUUGAAUGUACUUGCCAAAUCUUUGAGGAGUCAGUGGAGGCCAAAGUACAGAAAGCAUGUGAUCAAUCUAUAACUUUAUACAUAUAAACAUUUUUCUUGUGUAUUUCAUUGCAGAUUGCCCCUUUAACUCACUUACUGGACAAUGGGUGAGUAAAGCAUUUGAUGUUUGCAAUCUCACCAUAAAUGGAGAGGAGGCUGUGGAAUUACUUUAAUUUGUUACUCAAAGAAAAUCCAGAUUUAUUAUUGUCAAUCAUUUUGCGGUUGUUGUAAUUUCAAAGAAAAGUGUGCAGCUGGUAGUUAGCUGCAUUAAUUACCUUUAAAAAUUAAUUUAAUUAAUUAUCCUCUAAAAAUGCAUUUUUUUCCAAGUUACAGAUCUCCAACGUUCUGGUCUAAUGGGCUGUCCAUGAGUGUCAGACUAAUGACAUGUCAGCGUAACUGGAGGUCAUUUCCCAUUUCCUUGAUUCUCUAUAUAGAACGGAAAUUGGGUUAGCAAGAAAGACAUCCACACACUCACUCUUUCUCUUCCUCUUUCUGUCUUGUUUGACCUCAUGCUACCAUGUCAAGGGUCCUUUCUUGAUACUCUCUAUAGACCACUGUGGUCAAGAGGCGUAACAUGAGCAAAGUCACAUAAGGUUGAAUUAAACAUGUCUUGAACUAUGUGAACCUUGAACAUCUUUUUUAGUUUUGGUGUGGACAUGGAUCAAACUAAUCUUUUCAAGAAUAGUGAGUGAGGGUCAACGUUAGAACUUUUCAAAUGAUGGUGUGCUGAAAAUGUCCUCAGCUUUUAAUGAUUCCCUAUUUUCAUUGAACAAAGGCAUUCAGGUCAUGUAAAUGUUGAUUUAAAUUCCCCUCAAACAUGCCCCACAGUCCGAGAAAUUUCCGAACCCAGCCAGGUGGGCUGCAUGUGUCAAUAUUAAUGGAGGUUUUUAUUGAACUUAACUUUAUCCCAUUUUUUACAUGGCAGAUUUCUAAAAUGUCUUUUACAAGUCGGGAUGUUGGCCGCUAGCGGCUUAGGGGUGCAAAAUAGAGAGGAAGAGAGAUGCUUAAUCAUUCAGCAGCAUUAAGGGUUAUGGAGCUUUCUCAUCAUCCUGCUGUAUGUUUUAUUUGUUAUUAUAGGAUGCAUUGGUCAUACUGUAAAAUGUCCUGUGAGAUACAGAGAAAAAGCGUUAAUUUUCAAUGCUUAUCUGUCGUUUCUAUCCAUCUUUAUAGCCAGAACAGUUGGUGGAGCCCUCUUUUUUUCCUCCUCUAAGUCAGGGUGGUAUAAAUGUCGCUUAACUUCACCCCCAAUGAGCUUGUAAGAAACUGUUACACUGAUUAGCUGAUUCCCUGUGCACAUUAUGCCCUUAUUAAUCAUUAGUUUCUUCUCCGCCAGUGUGAGAGUUAUCUUUUUACCCUCUCUCUUGUUUUUUUUCAAAGGGUGAAGUUUGUCUGUUAUUUUUUUCCCCCUUUUUUUCUGUACAACUGUGUGGAUAUGAUCUGCUAAAAAACAAAACAGGUGCUGUGUUGCACCAUACUUUAGCAUAUGCAUGAGCUAAGUCCAUGUCAUCCAACUGUGAUACAGACAGGAAGAAUACCCUACUGAGGUCCUGUUCAUUGCAGUCCUACUGGCCAAACAAACUAGACUUGCGGGGUCAUUGGAAGUCUGGGUACAGUACUGAUUGCCUCAGGUGAGUGUACCUCCUGCACUGCGGAUGUAGUCCUCAUGGUGAUGGUCACCAGUUUGACUCCUGCUCUCUGCCCUUGCUGCACACCGGCCCCCACAAUUGCUGCCCCUCUUCUGCUGUGCUAUCUAAUGAAGAAAAUUGAAAAAAUGUUCGUUAUUAUCACUGUUACAGAUAUUAGAAUAAUUGUUUGAUCAUUCUUAUGGCUCUAAAGGACCUGAGCUUGUGAUGUCUCAUGUUGAAGGUUGACUUUAUUUGUAUGUAGUGUUUGAAACACAGUCUUUAGAGUCACACGACUCAUUGUCAUUAUCAUAUCUAGGGUAUUGUUGGUUUCAAACCUUUUAUUCUGUGUUUCAUAUUUAGGAACUGCAACCUUGACAAAUCCCAAAUUACACUUAACAUAAAAAAGACGCUGUGACGAGAGAUUUGUUUUUCUGCAAAACAAAAUAGGCUUUGAGGUGAAAUUUACAACUGUUUUCCUUAAAGACAGCAUCUGUUUCCCCCUGCAUAAUGUGUUUUUUGUCAUAUCCUCAUUUUAUUUUCAAGGGGACAUGAUUAUAAUGUCCCAAUGAGCCCAAUUAAAUGUACUACCCGGCCUCGGCUACACGUCUCCACAUUGCUUUGUGUCUAACUUGUUGCAACCAAAAAAUAAGGGUGACUUUGAGAAUUCCCUUUUUUAAUUUUUCUUUUUUUUCAUUUUAUUUUUCUUUCGGCUAGUAAAAGGCAACACUUUUCAGUUAUUUUAUUACAAGCUCAGGAGUUAUUGGAUAAAGUGGGCUUAUUUGGCUCAGAUCAGAUCGAUAAAGUAUAAUUUUUCACUUGACUUCGAGAUGGAGUAACUGUCCUGAUGAUGUACAGCCUCUCAUGUCCUAUUAAAAAUUAACACUGCUCACAUUAGUCCUUCUUAGUCUUAGUUUGUCCAAUAGUUAUGCACAAGUUUGAGUCCAUGUAAAAUCUGAGUGCAGAUCAGGCUUUGUGGUUAAGUCCGUGCCUGCAUACAGAAUCAAAUCUAACGUUGCCAUUAAGUGGCCUUCUCAACUCUUUCCUGAGAAUGUUUCCUGUCUCUCUAGAACCGUCCAAUCAUAUCAAUCAGAUCAGAUCAGUAUCCUAGAAAACUUUCAAGAAGCUAAAACUCAUGUUCACGUUUCAUUAUGCAGGACUUGGGCACCUACAGAGAAGCUUUGCAUGAUUUGCUAACCCCUUAGUUAUUGCAUACUGGCAUCUGUGAAAACCAUAUACGUAUAUACUGUAUAACUUGGCUCCGCCUUCCAUCAUUAUAUGAAUUUGAAGCCAAAUUGCUCUUGGUAUUUUUGGGAUUUUCUCCACUUCCUGGAACCACCACUUAGAGUAGCGUUGUACACAUUCAGUGGGACAGUCGCUGUGAUGACGCUCGGCUCAAACAGUGUAUCCCCCGGGUGAGCUACACAAUCUUUGUACACCCAUAGGCUGUAUCAAGUGUCAAUCAUAGAAAACAUGAACCCUCUAAUAACUUUUAAAAAUGUAGCUGUACAGAAAAAAAGAGGACUUGAGCACAAACCAGUCUUACAAUAACUACAUGUCAACAUCACAACCAGGGGGGAGAAGAAUUUAUAUUCUGUGGAAUUAAUUUCUAAAGUUUGUCCACAGUGUCAUAGGGAUUGCAGGAGGAGGGGCGGGAUUUAUGACCUAUACUGCAGCCCGUCACCAGAGGGUGUUGUUCUCAGAGUAGCUUUACCAGCGAGGAGGCAGACGGCGUCCAUUCAAUAUAAAGUCUAUGGUGAAAACCCUCUUGGUCUUGAGAAAUGAAGGCCAUGCUGAAAUGUUAAAAACUUUAAUUUUCUGAGUAUCCACUACAAGGUGUCUGCAGUAGCACCAGAAGCCACAAACACACUUAUUUUUAGAGCAAAUAUAAACAUGUUUACAACCUGAUUUGACAAAUGGUUUUAGGCCGAAUUAUUAAGGUUACAAAAUCAACGAAUCAGAGCUCUGGCUGUCUUGACUGGCAGCCUUGAACACUGUAGCCAUUUGUGAGGAGGCUAAAGACCCACCUCUGGCAGGUUGAUGGAAAGCUGGGUUGAGUCAGCAUUUUCAGUAACUGCUGCUGAUAGGCCUCAAAACUCUGCGUCACAAACAAAUAGGUGACCACAUUGAGACCAUGUCUGUUGUAGUGACAUAACCCCAAAGUUAGAGUUUUGUAGAAAUCCUUUGAGGCCAGCCAUUAACAUCCCAGCUCUCCUACAUUCUGUUUGUCUCUGCUGCUAUGGGACUUGGCUGAUGGAUCUGAGUCUUGGUGGAAGGUCUGUACUGAUGGAGCAAUGACAGUCAAAACUCAAACCAGCUUGUACUGGCCUUUGGACUUGAGUCUGAGUUCCUCAGUUCCCACACUUGGAGCAAAACCUCACUUUCAAAGGAGCACAAAAACUGGAUCAGGGCACUGUGGGUGUAAAAAGGACACUCACUACAACUCAGGGAAGUUGAAUCAGAACAUUGUGACUGACGCCAUUUUUCUGGAAGACGGGCACAGACUCCCCUGCACUCUUACUUCAAAGUACUAGACCUCUGCUGCUCUGGACUAAAAUAUGGGAGUAGACUGAGCUGGCUGUAUGCUUCACAGCCCAGACAAUCACUCCUCCUGCUGCCUCACAGAGUGAUCCACAGGAAACCUUACAAAAGAGCAAAGGAAGAGGGAUGAUUGCCCUUUUCUGUUCCCCUUUCUCUCCUUUAAGCAAUUCUAAACCCUAAAAAUAAGAUUUCUUGCAUCUGUCUCUUUUUUGUCCCCUCCACUCCAUCCCCAAACCACCACUCACCAGGCUGAUCUCUCCCUCUUUUCUUUCCUUAGUUCCCCUCAUCUGCUCACCGCACGGUUCCUCGCUCUCAGCUCAAAGGCCAAAAUAUUUGCAGAGAGGAGGCAGAGGCACAGCAAUGUGCUGCACACUCCCAACAGCAUACAUAAUGGCAUCAGCUGGAAGUGAAAAGAUGGAGUGACGAAGGGGGAGAGGAGAGAAAAGGUGUUUAUGAGGCUGGAGGAAGUGAAGGGAAUGAGAGGCAGUAUCAUUGGACAGCCCUCAGAGGAUGCACAAACUUUAUCUUACACUCAACACGGCUGACAAAGGGAUAUACCUCACCACUAAUCCCUCCAGGAGUAAGCUGCGUCACCUUUGAUUCAAAGCAGGUUAAGAAAAGGAGGAACAAAGAGGCAGAUCUUGCCAUGAGUGUGAAGCUCGUUACAGGGUGGUGGGGGCUGGAGGGUAUAGGAACAUGUCUCCAAAGCCUGUAACAACAAUAACACAAAGUUUUUUGAUUAUACUGAGAGGCAGAGUGAGCCAGACACAAAAGAAACAAUGGCUUUAAAUCUCUUGAAGCUUCCACAGCAAAACACACCCGUCCUACCAAGCUUUUCAUCCCAGUCUGGAGCCUCCAGAACUUUCUUUGGAAAGUCAUGCCACAUAAUUAAGCUUUCUUUUCCCCAAUGAAAAUAUACUUGUUUUUAGAGUUUAGGGCAAAUGAGAGUGAAAUAAUCACAAACUUUAUUACUUUAAGGCAGGCCUGCUGUGCAAAUGUUAAUAACAGACUCAAGAAAGGUGAAUCAGUACAUCAAAUGUUAAAACUGGAAACUUAUUGUUCUGCCAAAAUAUAUACUUGUUUAAAUUUGGUUCUAGAAACACACUUUAGAAUAGUUGGGGCAGGUUUCAUAAUGGUUUCAUAAUGGUUUCAUAAUGGUUUCAUAAUGCACCAAAUAGGUGGCAAAUAAGAACCGCAGGCUGUUUAAUAGCAGGACUCUUCUACUACAGAGUUGUGAUAUAGGUAGAAUAUGGUUUGGCAUUGUUUUGCUGAAAUACUGUAUGACCGAAAAAGUCAACAGUUGGAUGAGAGCAUAUGUUUUUCCCAAACUGUUCAGCUUUCCCAGAAGAGUAAGCUUGAAAUGCCACACCAGCUUGCUGAGCUGAUAAUGUGGUGUCCAUGAUCCCAAAGGGAUUGUCCAAUUUUGACAAACUAGACUACAGGAUGGUUGAUCAUUUUGCUCCAGUCUUUGGGCUUGAACCUGGAGAAGUUGUCAAGAUUUCGUAAUCAGAUCUCUGGAUCACCAAGAUUUGGUGCUUUUAUGACAAACCAAGUAUGCAGUAUAGGUUUUAAUUGACUUUGGGUAAUAUAACCACUGCCUAAAAUAUCAGACAUAGAUGAAUUAUUUGACUAAAGUCUGAGCUAAAUAUAAAACAAAUGUGCCUGAUAAGAUUGUAAUCCCCAAAUUCCACAGCAUGCAGAACAGCAGCGAAAAGGCUGUUGAUCGUUUCCAUUCAAGUAAAUGUGUCACAUUCCACUAGCUCAGGGGUCGGCAACCUUAAACACUCAAAGAGCCACUUGGACCAGUUUCCCACUGAAAAGAAAACACAGGGAGCCACAAAACCUCUUUGACAUCUAAAAUGAAGAUAACAUUGCAUAUAUCUUUUUUUUUAACCUUUAUACAAAGUAUAUAAAAAACUGUAGCGAGUUGCAUUUAUGAAAUAAAUGAACUAUUUCGGCGAGUGUCUGUCUUCUUCUGUAGUUAAACCGCAAGAUAUCAAAAUCUACCCGGAUACAGCAAUGCUGCUUUUUGAUUGGCUGUUCAGUAGAUAUACUUUAUUUGAUUGGCUUGUGCGUGGCACGCAGCUUCUGAACUCUCGGAGGAACUCAGUUGAUUUCCCCCAGUUCCAUAGUUGAAGAAGUGCAACUUGGUGGACAUCACCGUGUUCAUUUAAAUGCGUGAGAAAUACAAUGUGUGGUGUGUGAGCGUGUGAACGAGUGGGAAUGCGUGUGUCAUACGCUGAAUGCGUGAGACUUGAGAGCCCUGUGCUCACGCAUCAUCGAUGUACUCCCGAGCCAUGCAAAACGGUCUUUGCAAAUGUUGCACUGAAC